rnacentral:lncRNA from 1 species
AUGCCAGCAAAUUUGGAAAACUCAGCAGUGGCCACAGGACUGGAAAAGGUCAGUUUUCAUUCCAAUUUCAAUGAAAGGCAAUGCCAAGAAUGCUCAAACUAUGGCACUAUUACACUCAUAUCACAUGCUAGUAAAGUAAUGCUGAAAAUUCUCCAAGCCAGGCUUCAGCAAUAUGUGAACCGUGAACUCCCUGAUGUUCAAGCUGGUUUUAGAAAAGGCAGAGGAACCAGAUAUCAAAUUGCCAACAUUCGCUGGAACAUAGAAAAAGCAAGAGAGUUCCAGAAAAACAUCUAUUUCCUCUUUAUUGACUAUGCCAAAGACUUUGACAGUGUGGAUCACAAUAAACUGUGGAAAAUUCUGAGAGAGAUGGGAAUACCAGACCACCUGACCUGCCUCUUGAGAAAUCUGUAUGCAGGUCAGGUAGCAGCAGUUAGAACUGGACAUGGAACAACAGACUGUUUUCAAAUAGCAAAAGGAGUACUUCAAGGCUGUGUAUUGUCACCCUGCUUAUUUGGCUUAUAUGCGGAGUACAUCAUGAGAAAUGCUGGACUGGAAGUAACACAAGCUAGAAUCAAGAUUGCCGGGAGAAAUGUCAAUAACCUCAGAUAUGCAAAUCACACCACUUUUAUGGCAGAAAGUGAAGAGGAACUAAAAAGUCUCUUGAUGAAAGCAAAAGAGGAGAGUGAAAAAGUUGGCUUAAAGCUCAACAUUCAGAAAACUAAGAGCAUGGCAUCUGGUCCCAUCACUUCUUGGGAAAUAGAUGGGGAAACAGUGGAAACAGUGUCAGAGUUUAUUUUUUGGGGCUCCAAAAUCACUGCAGAUGGUGACUGCAGCCAUGAAAUUGAAAGACGCUUGCUCCUUGCAAGAAAAGUUUUGACUAAACUGUAUAGCAUAUUGAAAAGCAGAGACAUUACUUUGCCGAUUAAGGUCCGUCUAGUGAAGGCUAUGGUUUUCCCUGUUGUCAUGUACGGAUGUGAGAGUUGGACUGUGAAGAAGGCUGACACAGAAGAAUUGAUUAUUUUGAACUGUGGUGUUGGCGAAGACUCUUGA